UACGAGGGGGGCAAAUGUUGUUCGGAAUCAUUGGGCGUAAAGGGCGCGUAGGUGGUUCUGUAUGUCUACCGUGAAAGCGUACGGCUCAACCGUAUUUUGUCGGUAGAAACUGCAGGACUUGAGGCUGGGAGGGGCUGGUGGAAUUCCCUGUGUAGCGGUGAAAUGCGUAGAGAUGGGGGAGAACACUCGUGGCGAAGGCGGCCAGCUAGACCAGUUCUGACACUGAGGCGCGACAGCGUGGGGAGCAAACAGG
rnacentral:rRNA from 1 species